rnacentral:rRNA from 1 species
AACGAACGCUGGCGGCGUGGAUAAGACAUGCAAGUCGAACGCUGAUUUCAGGGUAGCAAUAUUCUGAAGUCGGAGUGGCGCAAGGGUGCGUAACACGUGGGUAAUUUGCCGUGAAGUUGGGGAUAACUCGCUGAAAGGCGAGCUAAUACCGAAUAUUGUCAUUGGGAGGCAUCUCUUGAUGACCAAAGUUGGGGACCGCAAGGCCUGACGCUUCACGAUAAGCCCGCGGCCUAUCAGCUAGUUGGUGAGGUAACGGCUCACCAAGGCUAAGACGGGUAGCUGGUCUGAGAGGACGACCAGUCACACUGGAACUGAGACACGGUCCAGACACCUACGGGUGGCAGCAGUCGAGAAUUUUUUCUCAAUGGGCGCAAGCCUGAAGGAGCGACGCCGCGUGGGGGAUGAAGGGCUUCGGCUCGUAAACCCCUGUCAUUUGCGAAACAAACCUUACGAUCUAAUAAGUCGUGAGCUGAUUGUAGCGAAAGA